UGAAUACCGGGCCGCAGAGGGUGAGGGCCCCGUACCUGAACGCGCAUGGUCUGCCGAUCGCGUCUCCCAAGUAGCACGGGUCCCGUGGAACCCCGUGCGAAUCCGCCCAGACCGUUGGGUAAGCCUGAAUAUUCCUGUCUGACCGAUAGCGAACGAGUACCGUGAGGGAAAGGUGAAAAGUACCCCGGGAGGGGAGUGAAACAGUCUCUGAAACCGUGCGCCUACAAUCCGUCGGAGCCCUUUUGUGGGGUGACGGCGUGCCUAUCGAAAAAUGAGUCUGCGAGUCAGUGGCAUGUGGCGAGCAUAACCCGUGUGGGGUAUGCGUAGCGAAGGCGAGUCUUAAAAGGCGUUUGAGUCGCGUGUCCUGGACCCGAAGCGGGAUGAUCUAGCCCUGAGCAGGUUGAAGCGCGGGUAAGACCGCGUGGAGGACCGAACCCACCUGGGUUGAAAACCGGGGGGAUGACUUGGGGCUAGGGGUGAAAGGCCAAUCAAAUUCCGUGAUAGCUGGUUCUCUCCGAAAUGCAUUUGGGUGCAGCGUCGGGUCAUUACGUCCCGGGGGUAGAGCUACUGGAUGCUUGCGGGCCCGUAUCGGGUACCAACAGCAACCAAACUCCGAAUACCGGUGACGCGUAUCCCGGCAGUGAGUCGGCGGGGGAUAAGCUUCGUCGUCGAAAGGGAAACAGCCCAGACCGUCGUCUAAGGUCCCGAAGCGUGUGCUAAGUGGGAAAGGAUGUGGAGUCGCAUAGACAGCCAGGAGGUUGGCUCAGAAGCAGCCACCCUUGAAAGAGUGCGUAACAGCUCACUGGUCUAGUGGUUCCGCGCCGACAAUGUAGCGGGGCUCAAGCACACCACCGAAGACGCGGCAGUAUUUUGUACUGGGUAGGAGAGCGUCCCAUGAGGGGCGAAGCGGCCGUGUGAACGCGCCGUGGACUUCAUGGGAGUGAGAAUGCAGACAUGAGUAGCGAGAGACGGGUGAAGAUCCCGUCCGCUGGAUGACCAAGGGUUCCAGGGCCACGUUCAUCGUCCCUGGGUGAGUCGGGUCCUAAGGCGAGGCCGACAGGCGUAGUCGAAUGGAUGAACGGGUCGAUAUUCCCGUACCGGCUUUCAGCCGCCAAAACCGAGGCUUGGAGUACUAACCUCCGGGUCCGGGCUUACUGCUCCUUCGGGGGCGGGAUGCCCUGGCCUGUUGGGACCGAUCCUUGUAGUAGGUCAGCGCAGGAGUGACGCAGAAGGGUAGCCGGCCGCGGAGGUGGUCUUCCGUGGUCAAGCACGCAGGGCGUGGGACAGGCAAAUCCGUCCCGCAUGGGUCCGAGGUGCGAUGAUGGGGGCCUUAUGGCCCGAUAUCCGGUGAUCCCGGCUGCCGAGAAAAGCUUCGGCGUCAGGCUCAAAGCCGCCCGUACCCCAAACCGACACUGGUGGUCAGGUAGAGAAUACCAAAGCGAUCGAGCGAAUCCUGGUCAAGGAACUCGGCAAAUCACUCCCGUUCCUUCGGUUUAAGGGAGACCCCCGAUGGUGAACACACUUGCUGUGGGAGCUUUUGGGGGUGGCACAGACCAGGGGGUAGCGACUGUUUACCAAAAACACAGGUGCAUGCGAAGGCGCAAGCCGCUGUAUAUGCACUGACGCCUGCCCGGUGCCGGAAGGUUAAGAGGAUCCGUCAGCCUUCGGGUGAAGCGGUGAAUUCAAGCCCCGGUAAACGGCGGUGGUAACUAUAACCAUCCUAAGGUAGCGAAAUUCCUUGUCGGGUAAGUUCCGACCUGCACGAAUGGCGUAACGACUUCCCCACUGUCUCGACCAGGAGCUCGGCGAAAUUGCAGUACGAGUAAAGAUGCUCGUUAAGCGCAGAAGGACGAAAAGACCCCGGGACCUUUACUAUACCUUGGUAUUGGCAUUCGGUGUGGAUUGUGUAGCAUAGGCGGGAGGCCGAGAGGCGCGGUC
rnacentral:rRNA from 1 species